rnacentral:lncRNA from 1 species
UGACUGCAGAGGUCAUGUGGACGCAGUCCCAGUCACCCAGGUGGCUCUCCAACAGGCCCUGCGUGUUUACCCGAAGGUGGCCCUGCACAGACAGUUAUCCCCGACUUUCCUCUGACAAGAUAUUUCCUGGGCACUUGCCAACAUCAGAGGAAUCUAAGUUCCUCAGAAAUUCGCGUGGGACCUGUUGAGGCUUACGGCAGAUCACAGGUGCUCCUUUCCUAUCCCAGGCGUGGCUGCUGCAGCAGGGAGGCUGUGAGGAUCUAGAGGAUACAGCUACGGAGAACAUGCUGGGUUCCUUGAGCUGCUAAGCACUGAAGUCCCACCAAUGGUGACGAAGGUCUAAGGAGAACAUUGCAAUUGCACAAAAUGAUCCUUGGAAAUUCUUUAGAAGGGCACCAUCUUGGAGACCCAGAAUCAAUAAAACCAGCAUGGCUGGGAGUUUUCUCCAGCAUUUGAAUAAAUUGUUGUUUCUUUGGUUGAACCAUGAUGAGAUAAUUGGCUUAAACCAGGAGUCAUGCAUGGUAUCUGGAAACUUCCUCACUUGAAUCACCAGCAUCAUACUCAGCAUGCAUAAUCCUCUCAUCAUGAGAGGCACAGGGGAAAUGAGCCAGCCUGUCUGGAAAGGAAGCAAAUGCAUGCUUUCCAUCUCCCACUCAGUACUGGACAUGAAGCUAUGUCAUCACCACUUAAUGCCAGCACCACUUAAAUGAUGUUUCUCUCUCUCUGCCCUGUACUUGCUGGAGGCACAUGCCCAUAUCACGUAGGGUGUCAGGGCAGAGAGCUCUUAGGAAGAGCUGAGCUGUGGGGACUUCCUCCCACGCAGAAGAGGGAGGCCUCUGCAGAAUUCUCUGCCAUGUGCUUCUAGGCUUCCUCAACUCAGAAAUUUUAUUAUAGAGUUUUAGAAUGUGAAGAGCUCUUGGAAAUCAUGAAAGAUGAAGAAUCAAGAUGGAAGUUUGAUGGCUUGUCCCAGGCCCCAGAGUGGACCCUUUGCUUUUUGGAAUCCAACAGCAAGGACUCAUGGGAAUAUCGUGGGAUUUGACUUGGAGAGACAGGGCUCAAACCUCAUCUUUGUCACUUAGUGAUUGUGUAAUUCUCUAAAAGUCUAUUUGUAGAAAAGGGAUAAGGGAGCUUUCUUUCCUGGAUUUCAAGAUGAUUAAAAGAGAUGUAUGUAUAAAGGGAUGCUCAGUUGUCUGAGCUGAGAUGACUGCAAAGUCACUGCACUCCUCUUACAAUGCCUGACAGGUG